ensembl:lncRNA
GGGGCGGUAUCCGUUGUGGAGUAAUGGCCAGCCAGGAUCUGUGUGAACACCAAGCCAAAAAUGCAACUUUGCGCCUCAGUUGUUAGUUAAUUUAUGUUAUUUUGGGGACUGAAUGGUCGUCGGGGAAAGUCCGUAGCCUACUUAUUCUUUGCAUUCAAUUGAAGAGCAUUGAAGAGAAUUUCGCCCGGGAAUGUGAUAACACCUGUGUUUGGAGUUAAUGUUUUAAAAUAAUCUUCUCUUGAAUUUGGGUAAAGUAGUCAAUUGGAAAGCGAUAGAACUGAGCGUAAGUGGUCGUCAGUGGCAGAAUUAACGCUCUUGUGGCCCGUUAAGUUUUCAUCAUGGGAACAUAUGUCUGGUUUCCAGCGUUCUACGCGUUUAUCGUCUGUGGAUAUUUAGCGUUUUUCUCUGGGGUACUUUUCCCACAAGCAGAAGCGGGGUGCAGGGAGAGAGAAAGCCCACAUUGCUGUACCGGGAGAAAUAACGAAUGUUUUGAGUACACGAAGCGUAAAACUGUGUGCUACUGCGAUUCGUACUGUCAGAAAACAGGGGACUGCUGCGAGGACUAUCGGCAUGUUUGUCAAAUAUCUGGGGCCUCGCAGGAGCAAAACAGAC